rnacentral:rRNA from 1 species
AGCUCCAAUAGUGUAUGCUAAUGUUGUUGCGGUUAAAAAGCUCGUAGUUGAAUCUCGGCGAUCCGUGGUCGGUUCAGUUUUCGCUGCUACUGGCUAAUGGAUCGUGAAAAUGAAGUUGGAUUGCGGGUGCUCUUAACCGAGUGUCCGUCGUCUUCUUCAAUUUUACUUUGAAAAAAUUAGAGUGCUCAAAGCAAGCUUUUAAGCCUGAAUAUUCGUGCAUGGAAUAAUGGAAUAGGACGUCGUUUCUAUUUUGUUGGUUUUCGGAAAUCGACGUAAUGAUAAAUAGGGACAGUCGGGGGCAUUAGUAUUCAGACGACAGAGGUGAAAUUCUUGGACCGUCUGAAGACUAACUACUGCGAAAGCAUUUGCCAAGAAUGUUUUCA